rnacentral:rRNA from 1 species
GACGAACGCUGGCGGCGUGCCUAAUACAUGCAAGUCGAACGCAGUUGGGACGGGUGAGUAACACGUGGGUAACCUCCCCUCAGAGGGGAUAACACUUGGAAACAGGUGCUAAACCGCUACUGAUGGAUGGACCCGCGGUGCAUUAGCUAGUGGUUGAGGUAACGGCUCACCAAGGACACGAUGCAUAGCCGACCUGAGAGGGGGAUCGGACACAAUGGGACUGAGACACGGCGAAGAAUCCGAAGGGAGGCAGCAGUAGGGAAUCUUCGGAAAUGGACGAAAGGCUGACCGAGAAAAGACGCGUGAGGGAAGAAGGUUUUCGGAGCGUAAAACUCUGUUGUUAGAGAAGCGGUAUCUAACCAGAAAGCCACGGCUAACUACGUGCCAGCAGCCGCGGUAAUAC